rnacentral:rRNA from 1 species
GACGAACGCUGGCGGCGUGCUUAACACAUGCAAGUCGAGGGGUAAGUCAUUUCGGUGACUGAGACCGGCGCACGGGUGCGUAACGCGUAUGUAAUCUACCUUUUACAGGGGGAUAGCCCAGAGAAAUUUGGAUUAAUACCCCAUAGUAUUAUUGAAUGGCUUCAUUUAAUAAUUAAAGUUCCAACGGUAAAAGAUGAGCAUGCGUCCCAUUAGCUAGAUGGUAAGGUAACGGCUUACCAUGGCGACGAUGGGUAGGGGUCCUGAGAGGGAGAGCCCCCACACUGGUACUGAGACACGGACCAUACUCCUACGGGAGGCAGCUGUGAGGAAUAUUGGUCAAUGGGCGCAAGCCUGAACCAGCCAUGCCGCGUGCAGGAUGACGGUCCUAUGGAUUGUAAACUGCUUUUGUACGGGAAGAAACACUCCUACGUGUAGGAACUUGACGGUACCGUAAGAAUAAGGAUCGGCUAACUCCGUGCCAGCAGCCGCCGCGGUAA